UUGAGAGUUUGAUCCUGGCUCAGAACGAACGCUGGCGGCAGGCUUAACACAUGCAAGUCGAGCGCACUCUUCGGAGUGAGCGGCGGACGGGUUAGUAACGCGUGGGAACGUG
rnacentral:rRNA from 1 species